CUUUUGGCAGGCAACCGGCAGGGAGGGGAAAAUUCAAGCGGCUACAUCUGUAUGCCCAAGUCGCCUAUCACCCCCUGACCUGAACUUGUUGGAAGGUUAAUCACAUCACACAGCGCGAAGACGCCGACCACCAACGAGCCAGAGUGGGGGGACCCACAGACGACCGACGAGGCAUUAGAGGCGGGGCCGAAGGCAGCCGACGAGGCAUUGGAGGGAGAUCCGCAGGCGACUGCCGAGCAGGAGCCGGAGGACCCGCUGGUGCCCCUCGAGCCAUACCCAAGGAGAGCAAGGGCAAACCAAGGGGCAGGACAGGUAGGAUCUGACUCUGGCGCAGGUGUCCCCUCCCUUUCUGGGAGACCGAGAGACAGGGACCCGGCUGGGAUCUGUCCUGCUGUGGCAGCAGAGGAGCCCAAUGGGGCCGUGGGAGCUGAUGUUGCGGGAACAAGGUUAGGAGCCAGAGGGACUACAGCCAGAGGGACAGGAACCGGGGUGACUGGAGCUGGAGCCUCUGUGGGCAGAGCAGGAACAGGCAGAGCAGGAGCCUCUGUGGGCUGAGCCGGAACAUGAGGCACGGGCAGGUCAGGUGC